GUUCAUCAUCUGAGCAGCAAUGAAGAGGCGCCCAUUUGGGUCCGGCUCCAGCUUUAGCACGCAGAGACUAUGAAUGAGGAAUGACCAAUGCAUCUUCUUUGCAUCAAUCUCCUAGUUCUUGUGCUUCUACCGUCGUCACUCUCCUGUGACAGUAAAGUUGAACUGGUUACAGUUCGAGACCAUUUCAGUGGAUUUGUGCAAACGCAUAUCGACAAUAUUAGAGACAAGCUGCAAAACCUACUCUGCCCAGAACGGAACUACAAACUAGCAAACUGCACAACAGAGAACACUGAUAUGGUGGAAACCUUGCUCCGUCAAGCCUGUGAAAUGCACAGGCUAAAACUUCAGGACAUGACAGAGCUGGCCAAAAUUGUCCAAGAUUCGAUACAAUGCACUUGUCCUAAAAAUGCGACAAAAGACCCCAGUGUGAGGUCACAGCGACGGAGGAUUCCAAGAAACCCGGGGAAGAAGCAGAUGAAAAAACUUUGCAAAGCUAAAGCAAUUCUGUCUUCCAUGACUGUAUGCUACCAGAGGCUGAGCACUAAGUUUGCGGCUGCUCGAAACUAAGCUGAAGCACAGCAUGAAACCAAACAGAAAAACAAACAAAAAAAAACACAACUUAAUGUGCUGCCAGUUUGUCUGAACUGUGCUGUCGUUUCGGAUUAUGCAAGAAGAAGCUUCCAGUUAAUUCAAGCUUUCCUGUAAAGUAUCGGUAUAUCCGUCUUGCGGCUGCUUUGGGUGUUGGACGACUACUGACUCUUGAGAUCAGUUUCCAAGCUACACAGAAACAAACUCAUUUAGCAGAAGGAAGCAGACUGGACUUUCCCACGCUACAUGGAGGAGCUGUAUGCUGUACAGAUCUACUGCUCCAAAGAGGAAUUCACUUAAAAAAUAAAUAAUAAUUUAAUAAAAAAGGCCUUUGGAAUGCAUGUAGCCAGUGUUUGAAGAGAUGAUUAGUGAAGAAUCUAUUUCCAAAGACUUAGUUAAAAUAUGUAUAUAUAUAUAUAUAUAUAUAUAUAUAUAUAUAUAUCUGUAUAAAAAAAAAUGCUCUGGUUUUUACUCGCACUCAAAUGACUCCUGAAGUACAAACUGGAAAUGUAAUGGUGCUCAAAUGCAGUUUUGCUUUCACUUCGGAAAAAGAAUGACCCGACUAGUCCCGACAUAUUUUUGUUAUCUUGGUUAUCUGAAGCCGGUUGUUUUAGGCUGUGUGUCAAGUCAUCGUUGCCGUUUUUAGUGACAAUGUGUUCAUUAGCCGCUCUGAAUGAUUGAUAUAUUAAAAGCAUAUUCUGACACAGAUGGCUGAGCUCAGCUCACAGGCCUUAUUACUUACGUGGGAGACAUCGAAGAUGCCUUUCCCACAACUUUUGGUCGGUGUUGUGAUUGAUACUUUUAUCAUACAAAAAAAAAAAAGGAGCAACAGUCAGACUUGUAACAAAAAAAAAAAAGGUUGAAACAUGCAGCCUUUGCUCUUUUUCUCUUCUACUACUUUCAGUGCUGCUGAUGUCUGCCUUGUGCUUAAAAGGCCUGGUUUUAAGCAAGUGAAGUAUAUUUGUUGUGUAUGACAUUGCAUGGGUUUCCCAUCUAUAUUUAUAAUUAAAAAUCUUACUUU